GCCGUUUAUUCCAUCCUCACUGCAUGGAUAUUUCACAGUUAUCCACCCUUGGAAGUCAGGUACAGAGCAAUUCACAUGGUCACAAGCCAUAAACAUUACCUCAUAAAUGGCACCAUGGAAAUGUGUCAACAAAAUUAGACCUACUCAAAAUCAGCUUUUACAAUAACAGCUGCUGGUGCUCUGGCUUGAGAACCAGGUAUGAGACCACCUACAACUCCGACUCAGAGUGUUCCAGUCGGUGUGCAAAUGGCAUGGGCUUCCACCAAGGUGCCAAAUAAUGCAGCAGUGCUGAAUAAUGUUCCAUUGCCUGGAUGCAGGAAUUUAAUUUAAAGUUAAGGAUUCUGUUGAAAUGGAAGAAACAGAAAAGCGGUUUGAACAAUAGGAGGAAAAGAUGGACUAAAUAAACAGCCAUCUUCAUCAGUGAAAGUCAAAUGAAUGAUAUCUCACUACACUUCUCAGAAGAAUGGAGUGGCGUUUUCCACAGUAGGGCAUGCCUCCCAUUCUGGGAGGUUCCUUUCACAAAGGAAUCCCUCUCUAGAGUUCUCUAAAUGUUUGGACAAUAUUUGACAGUGAAGACAGUGAAGACAGCCACAGCCCACUGGAUUCUCUGUAGUGCCAGAAAAGAUUUUACAGUGGAGAGAGAACUUUCCAUUGACAGUAAAUUUCCAGAACUUAGGCUCCAUCACAUGAGGAAUUUUCAUGUCUCUAAUGUAACAUCCCAUUAGAAAGUGCUGGGUGCUAUUUUGCCACACAAAAAUAGUUUGUUCCUGAUACAUGUUAGCUUUUUUGCCUUUUUGUUGGUAAAUUUAGAAGGAAACUUUUAUCUCAUUUAGAUUUAAUAGCAAGAGGAAGUUUCACAUAAAAGACA